CUUCACACCCCAUGAGGAGGAAUUGAUUGUCAGGCUUCAUGCAACCGUAGGUAGCAGGUGGUCUAUAAUACCACAGCAACUUCCUGGGAGGACAGACAAUAAUGUAAAGAACUACUGGAACACUAGGCUGAAAAAGAAGCUCUCAGAAACGGAAAUUGAUUCUGUUACUCAAAGUUUACGUAAAGAAUUACUUUGUUAUAUUUUCGACUUCCUUGUAUUUUGAUGGGGGCAAAAGCAAAUAGGUAGUUAAUUGCUUUGUUAAAUUUGGAUAUGUUUUGAG